rnacentral:rRNA from 1 species
AACGCGAAGAACCUUACCUGGGCUCGAACGGCUUACGACAGGGGUGGAAACACCCUCUCCCCUUAAAAGGCGUGAGUCGAGGUGCUGCAUGGCUGUCGUCAGCUCGUGUCGUGAGAUGUUGGGUUAAGUCCCGCAACGAGCGCAACCCUUGUCCUGUGUUGGCAUGCCGCAAGGCGCAACUCGCAGGAGACCGCCAGCGAUAAGCUGGAGGAAGGUGGGGAUGACGUCAAGUCAUCAUGGCCUUUAUGUCCAGGGCCACACACGUGCUACAAUGGGCGGUACAAAGCGCUGCCAACCCGCGAGGGGGAGCUAAUCGCCAAAAACCGUCCUCAGUUCGGAUCGCAGGCUGCAACUCGCCUGCGUGAAGCUGGAAUCGCUAGUAAUGCUAUAUCAGAACGAUAGCGUGAAUACGUUCCCGGGCCUUGUA